CAGGUAAAGUGGUUCAAUGAAUCUAAAGGUUUUGGUUUUAUCACUCCAGAUGACGGCAGCAAAGAUGUAUUUGUACACUUCUCCGCCAUCAAAGAUGACGGCUUUAAAACCUUGGCAGAAGGACAGAAUGUAACCUUUUCUGUAGAAAACGGUGCUAAAGGCCCGUCUGCAGUGGACGUUUUUCCAGCCUAGUUCUUUUCUUCACUACCGCGUCUUAUGUUCGCUUCCUCCUCGUUAGGAAGCCGCUGGGCGCGGUUUU
rnacentral:other from 1 species